GGCGGNGGGCUACACAUGCAGUCGAGCGGAUGAAGGGAGCUUGCUCCUGGAUUCAGCGGCGGACGGGUGAGUAAUGCCUAGGAAUCUGCCUGGUAGUGGGGGAUAACGUCCGGAAACGGGCGCUAAUACCGCAUACGUCCUGAGGGAGAAAGUGGGGGAUCUUCGGACCUCACGCUAUCAGAUGAGCCUAGGUCGGAUUAGCUAGUUGGUGGGGUAAAGGCCUACCAAGGCGACGAUCCGUAACUGGUCUGAGAGGAUGAUCAGUCACACUGGAACUGAGACACGGUCCAGACUCCUACGGGAGGCAGCAGUGGGGAAUAUUGGACAAUGGGCGAAAGCCUGAUCCAGCCAUGCCGCGUGUGUGAAGAAGGUCUUCGGAUUGUAAAGCACUUUAAGUUGGGAGGAAGGGCAGUAAGUUAAUACCUUGCUGUUUUGACGUUACCAACAGAAUAAGCACCGGCUAACUUCGUGCCAGCAGCCGCGGUAAUACGAAGGGUGCAAGCGUUAAUCGGAAUUACUGGGCGUAAAGCGCGCGUAGGUGGUUCAGCAAGUUGGAUGUGAAAUCCCCGGGCUCAACCUGGGAACUGCAUCCAAAACUACUGAGCUAGAGUACGGUAGAGGGUGGUGGAAUUUCCUGUGUAGCGGUGAAAUGCGUACAUAUAGGAAGGAACACCAGUGGCGAAGGCGACCACCUGGACUGAUACUGACACUGAGGUGCGAAAGCGUGGGGAGCACACAGGAUUAGAUACCCUGGUAGUCCACGCCGUAAACGAUGUCCACUAGCCGUUGGGAUCCUUGAGAUCUUAGUGGCGCAUCUAACGCGAUAAAUCAACCGCCUGGGGAGUACGGCCGCAAGGUUAAAACUCAAAGGAAAUGGACUGAA
rnacentral:rRNA from 1 species